UGAAACAAUGGGUUUAUCAUACACACUGUAAGGAGAGUGAUCACUUACGAUAAGCCAUCACCAGCAGCAGGGACAGACACCUAUCAAUGGGGACAAGAUAGCGGUGAUCAAAACCAGCAUGGGAUAACUCCCUGAGGAACUUGAUGAAAGAACAAAAUAAAGGAUGAGAAGGACAAUUUAAGAAAACAAGCACUCAUCAAACAACAAUUGAUUACAGCAUGACGGUGCAGAACUCAUUGGUCCAAAUGAAGGAAAAUCACUAGAUAAACAGGGUGCCUUGCCAUGAAACUUUGGGUCCGUCCUGCCAAGACUUCCCCGGAGCAUCGUGUCGUGACCAAUGGAACCCAGCUCCUCCCUACCCAUGAUCAACCUAACUGGCCACUAGAUUGAUCUGGACUCUGGACUGGUCAGCUGGAUGGACUCUCCCCUCCAGGAGAUCUGACCCCCAGUCUUCCCUUAAAACCUUAUCCACAGGUGAGGGGUCUGGCAUUUCAGAUGCAGAUUUUUUACCCUCCUCCUGGGGAAAAGCCUCCCUACAAAAGGUGGACAGACCCUCCUGUCCCCCCUCACCUUCCGUCAGGACUUCCCUCUCUGGGCUCCCCUCUGAGGCAGACACUCCUGUGUCCCCCAAAAGGUGACCGUGAUCCAGAUGUGGACUCACAGCUACCAGCUAUGACAGACACUUCACUGACCAGCAAAAUCCCCCCUUUUUCACUCAGGUUGGGCUUGCUUCCAACUACAGAGUCCUUGGGGUCUGUUCCCACCGCAGCCGUCACCAGGCCCCAACUUCCAUCUCCUGGAUACAUGUCUCUGGGCACCCCAGGGCAGGACCUAUCCCCUGCUGACCUGCAACUUCCUGGCAGUCAGCAGCUGGGAAGGCUUGCCUGUUAGAAUGUGCAACAUUCCCCUCCCACAAGGAGAUGAUCACAGGAUAGGAGCUGGCUCUAUCCAGACCCUUCCACAGGGACUUGCUUUGAGCCCUUGGACUACAGGAACUGGUUAAGACCACACCUGCUGCUACCAAGGAAUUAAAGAGACACUCCUAUUUCCCCAGCAGCACUUGUAACUUUACCCUCCCCUCUGGGGCUUUUAGCACAAGAUUCUUUCUUGCUGCUAACAAACCCUGGGACAGAUUCUGCCACAUCAAAAAAAUCAUUCCCCAGUAGAAACGGUGCAAAAUUGUGUGCCACUGCUGCAACAGUCAGUUCAGCCUGCAAAUCCCCAGUUUCCAUGUGUACCUUAGCUAAGGUGCAAGGACUUUGUAACCUCCCAUCAUUCUAAUUCUGGCAUUUUCCCUGGUAACAAAUCCUUCUCAUGGAUCCACCGUCUCAAAUCCCUUCUCCUGGUUGAGAGACAGGAGGACGAAUGACUACACAUCAGGUGGAGAAGGUCCCAGACCAGAUAGAGGUUAUUGAAGAUGGUCUGGCCCAAAACAGUGUAGGUCUGGUCGGAGUGGAUUGUGUCUGCCAGCCUGGACAUAAGCUGUUGCAAGACGGCCUUUGAUACAACUUUAUAGUCUGUGCCGAGCUGCAAUACUGGGCGCCAGUUCUUCAGGUUGGUCUGCCUGCACAUCAGGAGGGAGCAUCUUGCUCCCAAGGAACUCAGCCCAGAUGAUGACAAGGUCCAGGUUGAUGACUUCACAGAACAUUUGGCAGCAGUCCACAGUCAGCCCAUUGAUGUGUGGGGAUUUGAUGGUGGGCAUCUGAUGGAGGGCUUCCUGGAACUUGGCCAGAGUGAGAGGAAGCUUCAGCCAGUCCUGGUUGCCUGCUUUGACCAUAGGGAGAUCAUCCCUCAGGAGCCUGCAAACAUUGGCAUCAGCUGAAUCUGGGGAGAACAGGCAGAAAGCCCUUGUUCUUUCCUGCAUCUUUUCUGGAUCUGUAAGAGGGGUGCCAUCCUCUGCCAGGAGGCAGGUGAUGUUUUUGGCACCCCUUCAUCUAUUUCCUGAAGAAGAAGAAAAGUGGGAACUGUGAAGUUUCUCCAGAAAGAGCAAGAUGAAGGCUCCCUGAGCCUUGCGGUCACCAAGGACCCAAGGCUUGUCCCGUUUCUCCCGACACUCCAAGAGGGAGAGAUUCCCAGGCGAGCAGCCUGGCAUCUCUCUAGCUCAAAGAUCUCUCACACUCCAACUUCUCUAUCACUGCAUCUCUCCACCAAUUGUCCCCACGGGUGUAAUCACGGCAGAAGAUCCAGGCCCUUACCCACCACCUCUGCACUGAAGGAAAGAUGUGCCUUCGCCUGUGCCAACCCAGCCAGAACUCCCCCAGAAGGACACUAUGAAGCCAACAUCCAGCAGGCUGUUGUUGAAAGGCCUGUAGGCCAGCCCUGGCCACUCAGAUAUCAGUGAGACUGCCAAAGACAUCAUGUGAUGGUCUGUGAAUGGGGGAGGAGUGGGCACAUGUUCAGAUGAGAGAUGUAAAUGUGGUCCAGCUGAGAUUGUCACGAUUGGACCUCCACCAUGCAGACAAAGAUGAAGGCAGCAGAGGCCGUGCCUCCUGAGCAGGGAGAGGAAGAGACCCCAGCUGCCGUAGACAGAGGAAGAAAAAGAUGAGGAGGCAGCAGUGGGGAGCAGAAGGAGCUGCGGCCACCUGGGUGCAUGUCCUUGGGGCUGUAAGAGCUGGCUGUCCCUGGCUAAGAGGCUCAUGUUGUCAGAAGGAAACCAAGAUCAAGUACAGAAAAGGAGAAAAUGGUGACCAGUGACUCCAACCCACCAACGUGUAAGAGGAGCCAAAAGAAAACAGAGCAUCUCUGAUUACAGGCAAGUCACUCUCCUGGGAACCAACCUUCCUCCAAAGAAGAUGCAUGCCCUGUUUAAUUGUUGGGCCUGAAAAGUUCGAUAGUCAUAAUAUGAAAACAACUCUGUUCUGCAGGGUAAGUGAACUGUAAAUAUAGCACUGACAUGACCAGCUUCAGUUAUCUUCCCAGAUUAAAAAGGUUUAACCUUGUUUUAGACAAAAAAACUUUAGUUACACAAUUUUUAGCCAAGUUUUUCAAUUAAGACAUAUCUUAAGCCCCACAUUGGCUGCCAGUUAAAGAUAGGAGAAUUGUUUGAAACGUAUAAAUAUUAAAGAACUUCGGUUACUGCUUGAGAACAAGUUCAGUUUGAAAGGUAGUUUAUAAGCAAUUUAUUAGUAAUUUGGAGCUUCCCUAAAAGUUUGUAUUACACCAGGGAAGGAAUAAUCACCAAUAAAACCCACCGUCUUCAUUUUAAUUUCAAGUGUUACUUCACACAUCAUCAUCUUAAGUCAGGAGG